rnacentral:tRNA from 1 species
GGAUGUGGCUCAGUGGUAGAGCACUUGCCUAGCAUGCUGAAGGCCCUGGGUUCAAUCCUCAGCACUA